rnacentral:rRNA from 1 species
UAAUACGUAGGGUGCGAGCGUUAAUCGGAAUUACUGGGCGUAAAGCGUGCGCAGGCGGUUCGCUAAGACCGAUGUGAAAUCCCCGGGCUUAACCUGGGAACUGCAUUGGUGACUGGCGAGCUAGAGUGUGGCAGAGGGGGGUAGAAUUCCACGUGUAGCAGUGAAAUGCGUAGAGAUGUGGAGGAAUACCGAUGGCGAAGGCAGCCCCCUGGGCUAACACUGACGCUCAUGCACGAAAGCGUGGGGAGCAAACAGGAUUAGAUACCCUGGUAGUCCACGCCCUAAACGAUGUCAACUAGUUGUUGGGGAUUCAUUUCCUUAGUAACGUAGCUAACGCGUGAAGUUGACCGCCUGGGGAGUACGGUCGCAAGAUUAAAACUCAAAUGAAUUGACGG